AGGCGGCGGCGGCGCCUUUGAGAGCAAGCAGGGCGCUUCCGUACGCGGCCUCGGUGUUCAUGGCGGGGACGACCGGCAAGCCGAGCACUCGCUGCCGGAUCUUCAUCCACGCUGCGUUCUUCGCGCCGCCGCCGGAGGUGAGCACCUGGUCAACCCUCGUCGCCCCGAGGUCCAUCAGCAGCCGGUACCCCUUGGCCUGCCCCAGAUUGCGUCGCAGAUGGUGAGAAAUUUCUGAGGUUUUUCCGCUUGCUCAAUCAAUCAGGGGUCGGGAUGGGGAGUCGAUCGGCGAGUAGCACCACCUCGAUCCGAGCUAUGGAUUCCAGAAUGCCGUGCAGAUACUCCACGUCGCUGUCCGGCCGCGGGUGUAAUCUGCGUAGGUUGGAUUGUAUGAAAGAAAUCAGCCGAUCUGGAUCGCAUUCGAUCUGGAAGUUAGAACCCUAAGCCGGCCGCCUCGGCCGUCGGGGAGCCGAAUUGAAUCUUGUAAGGCUGGCUGGAUGUACAAUCAAUUGCUCAGGAAUCGGC
rnacentral:lncRNA from 1 species